rnacentral:tRNA from 1 species
UUCCUCGUGGCCCAAUGGUCACGGCGUCUGGCUACGAACCAGAAGAUUCCAGGUUCAAGUCCUUUCAAGUCCUGGCGGGGAAG